GCUGGGCAUGGUGGUGCAUGCCUGUAAUCCAAGCUACUCGGGAGGCUGAGGCAGGAGGAUUGCAAGUUCAGGGCCAGUUCAGCUACUUAGUGAGGCUCUGAACAACUUAGCAAGACCCUGUCUUGA
rnacentral:sRNA from 1 species